rnacentral:rRNA from 1 species
UACGGGGGGAGCAAGCGUUGUUCGGAUUUACUGGGCGUAAAGGGCGCGUAGGCGGUCAGCACAAGUCAGUUGUGAAAUCUCCGGGCUUAACUCGGAAAGGUCAACUGAUACUGUGCGACUAGAGUGCGGAAGGGGCAACUGGAAUUCUCGGUGUAGCGGUGAAAUGCGUAGAUAUCGAGAGGAACACCUGCGGCGAAGGCGGGUUGCUGGGCCGACACUGACGCUGAUGCGCGAGAGCCAGGGGAGCGAACGGG